UGAACUUUGACAUAAUUAAUCCCGGGGUAAUUGAUACGAUUAGCAGUCUAGGAUCAUGAAUGUUAACUCUGAAAAUAGAAUUGCUUGCAGACUGUAGAUUCUCGACCUAAUUAGAGUCGUGAGCGUGGUGGACUUGGGAUUAUGCAUGUGGGUUCUUGCAAGUUUGCUCUCAGCCGAAGAUUUGGCUGCAGUGUUGCAAGGGUAGGGGAGUCAGAGCAAUAAUGCCGUGAUCGGAAGGACGAGUGCUGUGUGUCGGUGAAUGCAUCAAGUUCGUAAUAGAAGUUUGCUGCGAGUUAUCUCGUCAUAGACGAUAGAGAAGAAUGGUGUCAUUUCUUAAACUCAUGCUCAAAUCGAAAAUAUCAUCUGCAGCGCUUUUGGUGGAUGGAAUCCGGAGGCGCACGCUGAAGCAAUGAGUUGCUUGGCUUUUAUAUGACGUGCACUUGUAACGAAUCGAUCAAGAGAUACUUAGAUAGUCACUCAUUGGAGAUUUUAGGUAUUGGCUUGUUUACCACCAACAGAGAGUUUUAUCUUUGGCGAUGAAGUCCUAAUUUUACUGGGUGCUGAAUGCAUGUAAAGCUCCCACCAGAUUUAAGAUUUUAUCGAUGCAAAUGUUGUUUAAUGGAUAGAGAUAAUCACUCGCUAGAAUGUAAGAGUGGAACUACAUUCUACACGAAAAUCCCGGAUCAAUUGCUGGAGCUCUGACAUCUUUUUUAUGCAAGUAGUUCUCUCUUAUGAUAGUUAGCUACUUUGCAACAACUUUCCAUCUAAUAGAUGCGUCCUUGUAACAUUUAUUUGUUCUUUUGCUAGAAGUGUUGGUACUUGGGAAAGGAAUCUUCUGCCUGGUCAAUCCAGCUCACAAAAGUUGAGAGAAACCAUCCCUGAAGAUUAGGUUUUAGGGUCCAGUUUAUUUUUGGUGAUGAAGUUUGUGGGUGUUUACGAAAGUGAAGGAUCCGGUUAACUAGUCGGAAUUGGUUUCUCAUUAUACAGAAUUGCAUUUGCUUAUCAUCAUCAUCUCGCCGUUUUGAGUGUACAAGGAGGCUUAACUGAUAGGAAGAAUUGGGUGCUUUCGAUGCUGGUCGUCCCGGCAGGUGCUGACAAGAGCACGGCUUGUCAGGAAAUCAUAGAAAAUGUAGCAUGGCCGUGGACUCGUAUAUGUCAGAUUUGGUUCUCUUUUGUUGAAGCAGUUCCUUUUAGCAACCAAAACUUUGUAUGAACUUCAUUAUCCUUGAUUGAGCACAUAAGUUAUGUUGCAGAUUGUCGAGACGCAAGAAGGAUACAAUAUGCAGUAUGAAUCAUCUCUUUUGCAAGGAACUGAGCAAUUUAGAGAAUUAAUUCAUGUUAUAAAGUUCUAACUAAAGUUCCUGGCGUGCAUGUAUCUUCACGCAGAUGUAGAGACCUCGAAUAUCAUCUAUUGAAUGACUGAAGCGUUGUAGGAUUGAAGAAAUGUGGCUUGAGUUUUGUUGGCAGGGAAGGAAGGACUACUUUGAGCCCUUGGGAUGUUGAGCUCUACCUCAAGAAAAGUGAUGUAGAUAGAAUAGCUUUUGUUGAAGCAUAGUGAUGUAGAUAGAAUAGCUGGACCAGGGAUCAGCAAUUGCGGAUUAUUGCAUUACGUCCAGAGUAACAUGCAAUGGUAACUGCUGAUAACUUUGCAAUGAUACGGGCUAUUUAUUCUAUGUUCACUUUGAACCUUAAUGUUUGUGGGUUGGUGGUAUCUUCAAAUCUCGUAUUGACAAUUCUGUCGUUGCAGAAGUGAUUAGAAAUAUCUGCUCCACUGACCAGCUAAGCCCGGUGUCAGAAUGUUAUGGAAUUAAAGGGGGAGGGGAGAGCACUGUCGGUGGUUGCAGUAAUGUUUGAUUUGCUGUAGAUUUUGAGUCAAUAAUUACAUCAUUACGUAGAUUCGCAUCUAUUGGUGAGCAUCGAUGAUGUAGUACGAGAUGGUGCAUAAAUGUUGGAGCAAUAGUAACGUGACAGAACAAGCAGCAGUUGCUAACAAAGCAACAAGAGAUGGAUUGGACUUAAUUGUACACGAUGGCAUCCAGCAUCUUUUCAGUACUACAACUCAUGCAUUCUCCGGGUCAGACUUGAUCAAGGCGGUAUAUUAUCGACUGCUGCACUAUUAUAUCUUGUCUUGGACACCACACCUGAAGUGGAGUUGAGGCGAGUCCUUCCACGUCCAUCUCAGGUAGAUGCAAAGGUAACGAAUGAGGAGCUGCGCUGUCUUCGGUGUUGGAGCGCACAGCCUAGUCUGCCUCGACUGAAGACUCAAUUCGCAAGCGGCAAGACUCUAUUGUAGCGCCUUUACCUCACCUCUUCUGCCCAUGCACAAUCGUGACCCUCGUUGCAGAUCUUGGACAGAUCUUAUCGUGUAAAUUCUUAAUAGCUGACUCUUAUUAUUACAGGCUUUGAUGAACUCUCUUUAUUGGUGAUGUGAUUGAUGCAGUGACUACAACUCUUCAUUGCUUGAGAUGACUUUUUCUGUGAUACUAAAUAUUGCUAGUGUCAUGUCACAGUCGAUGAUCAGUAUAAAAUUCAUGAUAACGGUUCAUAAGGUACCUCCAGCAUCAACGUGCAACACAAGGACUGUUCGGAAAGGUGCAACAUUUUUGCAGCGUAUGAAAUGGUCAGCUUGUGAAUAUAACGGCUCACAAGACUUUGCUAACGUUGUCUUUUCUGCUAGCUCAGAUUCCCAGCGAUGGUUUGCUACUGGUGGCUGACCCUCAAAAACGAAACAGUUGUUGGUGAUAAAUCGCAUAACAUUAAGUGCUCGACACUGCUCCUGCUCCAGUCACUGUUCAUCUACUUUCUAUCCAAUAAUGCGAAAUCAAAACAUCUGACGAAACAUAUCCUGCUUGGGACGGUAUUUGUUCAUGCUUUCUCCAAAUGUUAUGCAGCCACUGAUCCAGAACGCUGCACAUUUAUUUCUCUCUAUUCAAAGCUCUUUCGGAAUAGAGCGUUGGCAGGAUCAUCACAGCUAUGGCUUUGCGGGCCUUUAAGUCACCUUUCGUGAAAUAAGGAACCGAUGACGAGUUUCAUGUCGAAGCAUAAAGGCCUUGAUCCUCUGUCAUUUGUGCCUCGGUCCUGUGAAAUUUACAUGCUUUGUCCAUUCAGCAGAAAUUUAUGAAGAGAGGCUGACCUUUAAGGUGGAAGAACAAGCACGUGAACAUGUCCUGUCGUUUGCUUUUAGGUUCAAGUACCAAAUUUUCUUUUCUACUGUGACAAAUGCUUCCACAUUGACUUCAUGAACGUCUUUCAACAAUCCACAAACAGAUCAAAUGUUGAUGAACAAUAUGAGGAGCCUCGAGUUUCUACAGUAUGACUACAUGGAGCCAACAGAUGGAAGCCUUCUACUGCAAUGGAUGUGAGUAAUCUCUCUGAAUACAAUUUGAAUUUACUAUCAUGUAAACAGACUUUCCCUGUGCAUUAUUUGCAAAUAUCUUUCAUGCUUUUGCAUUUAGGGGCGUUGGCCAUCUGCUGCCUCGUUAACUCUUCAAUGAAAAGACUCGCAUAUUUUCCAACCAAUGUAAGGCUCACUCAAAACUGGAUAGAAUCGCUCUUUUUCUUGUAUCGGAAGUCAAUAUCCAUUCUUGAUCAGUAUUCACAAGACAAUUUUUACAUUUUUUUUUUCAAAAACAAGCUCUUAUAUGAUUACGUAUAUACAGAUGUUGAGGGUUCAGGUUUAUGUUUCCAUUAUCUCUGUACUUUAGGCUUUGUUCUCUUCCAAUGAAUGAGUGGUGGUACCUGUGCGGCUUUUCAAAAAAAUGUUAUAGUAUAUUUUAAUAUUCUAGUGUUGUGGUGUAGACUCCAUGAUGUUAAUUACAAAGUGGAAUUAGAUCCAUCUUUGUUCAAUGGGAUUCAUAUUCUAACAGUGUUUGAUUCCAACCUCCGAAGGGAGGCA